rnacentral:rRNA from 1 species
UGGUGGAGUGAUUUGUCUGGUUAAUUCCGUUGACGAACGAGACCUUAACCUGCUAAAUAGCUACGCGUAGCUUCGGUUACGUGGGCAACUUCUUAGAGGGACGUUGCGUGUCUAACGCAAGGAAGUUUGAGGCAAUAACA